ACAUACGACCAUAUGUAGUAGAAAAUUCGGGAUCCCGUCCGCUCUCCCCUAGAUAAGCUACUGACAGCCGAAUUAGUACUCAGGUCGGUGACGACCGAGGAAUCCUCGGUGUUGUAUGUU
rnacentral:rRNA from 1 species